UUACAAUUCACAGAAUCGGUGUUCCCUGAGUGAAAGACAUGGGUAGUGAGAUUUGACUAUCACAAAACAAUCUCACUAUUCUGUUUUUCCCCUGGUGGAUACUUAUUACAUCUACUACCUGC
rnacentral:precursor_RNA from 15 species